CGGGCGGUAGACUCCGUCCAAGGCUAAAUACAGGCGAGAGACCGAUAGCGAACAAGUACCGCGAGGGAAAGAUGAAAAGGACUUUGAAAAGAGAGUCAAAGAGUGCUUGAAAUUGCCGGGAGGGAAGCGGAUGGGGGGUGGCGAUGCGCCCCGGCCGUAUGCGGAACGGCUCUUGCUGGUCCGCCGCUCGGCUCGGGGUGUGGACUGUUGUCGGCCGCGUCGGCGGCCAAAGCCCGGGGGCCC
rnacentral:ncRNA from 1 species